CAGCCGCGGGAAUACGGAGGGUGCAAGCGUUAAUCGGAAUUACUGGGCGUAAAGCGCACGCAGGCGGUCUGACAAGUCAGAUGUGAAAUCCCCGGGCUUAACCUGGGAACUGCAUUUGAAACUGUCAGGCUGGAGUCUUGUAGAGGGGGGUGGAAUUCCAGGUGUAGCGGUGAAAUGCGUAGAGAUCUGGAGGAAUACCGGUGGCGAAGGCGGCCCCCUGGACAAAGACUGACGCUCAGGUGCGAAAGCGUGGGGAGCAAACAGGAUUAGAUACCCCUGUAGUCCCUGUCUCUUAUACACA
rnacentral:rRNA from 1 species